UACCCCUCACAUUCAAUCCCAGCCCUCCAUCAAACAUCAAUGGCAACACAAAAUAUUAGUAUUCUAAAAUUGUUUUAGUUUUAAUAUAUGUAAAAUUAUAUAAAUGGACGGUUUCUGGAGAAUUCUUUGAGGCUUUAGCGUUAAGAGAUAGAUACAGAGUGCUGAUGCUUCCGUGUAUUUGUUCAAGACUGUAAUGUCCUAAGUUUUCCUUUCAUGAAAGUAUUGUUAUUGAUUUAAUUUAUCUAUAUAGGAGAGUUUGUGUCUUUGGGUAAUUGUUAUAAUUUGUCGACAAGAUACAGAGUGCUCUGUUUUGGGUUUUUUUUUUCUCUGUAUUUGGGUAUUGGGUAUUGUGGAAGAAUGGCAAAUGGAGAAGAGAAAAGUAGCAGUAAUGACUUGUACGCGGUGUUGGGGUUGAAUAAGGAAUGCACUCCAGCAGAGCUCAGGAAUGCUUAUAAGAAGCUUGCACUGAGAUGCCACCCAGAUCGUUGUUCGGCUUCGGGGAAUACGAAGUUCGUCGAAGAAGCCAAAAAGAAGUUUCAGGAAAUACAGCAGGCGUAUUCUGUUCUGUCGGACUCAAAUAAGAGGUUUCUGUACGAUGUGGGAUCCUACGACAGUGAUGAUGACGAAAAUGGGAUGGGAGAGUUUUUGAGUGAAAUGGCAGAUAUGAUGAAUCAUACCAAACCUCGUGAAAAUGGGGAGGAGACUUUUGAGGAAUUACAAGAGCUGUUUGCUGAGAUGUUCCAGGGGGACAUUGAUGCUUUUGAUUCCACUUGUCAGUCUACAUCGUCUUCCUCUGCUUCAUGUUCUUCGUAUAUUAGUUAUAGUGAAGGGUCUAGCAGCAGCAAUAAGCGCAGUUCCUCCGAAAUGAAUUUCACCAUGUCAGGGGGUUCUUCAAUUUCUGAUUCUCGCUACCAGAAAUUUUGUUUAGGGGAGCUUAUGCAUGGGAGUUGUUUACCUAUGUAUCGCAAGACCUGACAUUGUAAUGGGAGGCAGCAAAACAAUGGACUAGGAACCAUAUGGAUUGGAAUAUAAUAGGUCAGGUUCAACACCAGCAAGAUUUCAAGAAGGGAAAGGGAGUAAGAGGAGUUGAAGGCGGAGCUGGCAAUAGACAAAGGUCCAGUCCAGCAGCCACGGAACUAAGAUCAUGAUGCGUAUUGCGUAAUCUUACAACAUUUUACUUCAGCUUUACCAUAACUUUUUCUUUGAACCUUGUUGGUAUUGUCAGUUGGGUAGUUCUAGUGUGUAAUUGUAUCAUUGUUGUGACUUCGUGGAUUUUAUGUGCAAGCAAAACAUCAGAUGUUUUGGUAAUGUUUGCAGUGCUCUGCAAUACCCUUUUAUUAUGAUAUUUUGAGACUCAGUAAUUUGUGGUUCUAAAUGUACAAAAAUGGAGCCACUUGAUCA